rnacentral:rRNA from 1 species
UACGUAGGGUGCGAGCGUUAAUCGGAAUUACUGGGCGUAAAGAGUGCGUAGGCGGUUCUUGAAGUCCGGUGUGAAAGCCCCGGGCUUAACCUGGGAAUGGCAGUGGAAACUGGAGGACUUGAAUUGAGCAGAGGGGGGUGGAAUGCCGCGUGUAGCAGUGAAAUGCGUAGAGAUGCGGCGGAACACCGAUGGCGAAGGCAGCCCCCUGGGCUGAGAUUGACGCUCAGGCACGAAAGCGUGGGGAGCAAACAGG